rnacentral:rRNA from 1 species
GGUAAUACGGAGGGUGCAAGCGUUGUUCGGAAUUAUUGGGCGUAAAGCGAGUGUAGGCGGUUUGGAAAGUCGGAUGUGAAAGCCCAGGGCCCAACCCUGGAAUUGCAUCCGAUACUGCCAGGCUAGAGUCCCGGAGAGGGUGGCGGAAUUCCCGGUGUAGGGGUGAAAUCCGUAGAUAUCGGGAGGAACACCAGUGGCGAAGGCGGCCACCUGGACGGUGACUGACGCUGAGACUCGAAAGCGUGGGUAGCAAACAGGAUUAGAUACCCUGGGAGUCCACGCCGUAAACGAUGUGU